CCAGAUGUGAAGCAGCUUAUUCAUCUUGUGAAGAGUCCAGACUGUAGACUGGAGACUCUGAGCUGGUGGUGAACAGGAUGGUAUGUGAGCUGAGAGAGGAUGAGCUGAGUCCUGAUGAUCCAGAGGUUGAAUCAGCAGCAGCUUGUGUGUAGAGAGACUCUGACUGGACCAUGUUACUGGGAGGUGGAGUCAAGAGAUUAAAGAUCCUCAACAGAGCUGCACAAACUAUUAACACCAACAAGUAAAGACCAGUCCCUCUCCUGAAUUAUUGGACACAUUAAUCAACCAGCAUCAACAGUCUUUCUAUAUUCUAUUGUGUCUCUUCACUUCUGUAUUUAUUGUUCUGUUUAUUUUACUCCUUUUUCAACCAAACAUUUAUUCAAUUUGAAAAGAAGCAGGAAGCAGUUUUCACACUGAGCCUCUGCUUUAUGCAUCAUUGUCAGAGAUGGAGAUAAACUAUUGUUGUUAUUGUGACACACUUUCAUCUACACUUUGCUUUGUUGUGCUUCACUCUUCACUGACUGGUUACAGAGACGUUAUUUAAAAAAUGUCUCAGAAUUAAAAUUAAGAGCUCAGCGCCUUCAGAAAAACUUAAAGGCUCAUUUAAGACUUAAUCAAUGGCACUUCUAGGUUUUCCAUGAUGAUCGUUGCAAGUUCUUAUAUGGUUAAGUUGCUUCUCUUAUUUAUUAUUUAUUGCAUAUAAAUAACAGAAGCAACUUAACAUCAGAACUAUCAUAUUACAGUUUUUUUCAGUAUUUUUGAAAUUCCCUGCCCACACUGUAUAUACUGACUGUCAGAGUGCUGCAUAUUCUUGUAUAUUUUGUAUCUUCUUUCAAACUUCAUACUGUCUUUUAUUGUUUGUAGAUUGCUUGUAUAUAUUUUCGUACCAACUUCUGCACUACUGUGACAAGGUCAUUUCCCACAUGUGCGAUAAAUAAAUGUUGUUUUAUGUCUUA